GUAGUUGGAUCUCGGUUCGAGACGGUUGGACCGCCUUUCGGGCGGUUUUCCUGACCGCUGCGAACAGAAUGAACUGGCACGUCCGGCGGUGCUCUUCAUCGAGUGUCGUCGGGUGGCCGGUGCGUUUACUUUGAAAAAAUUAGAGUGCUCAAAGCAGGCGGAGAUGCCAGAAUAAUAGUGCAUGGAAUAAUGAAAUAGGAUCUCGGUUCUAUUUUGUUGGUUCUCGGAACGCGAGAUAAUGAUUAAUAGGAACAGACGGGGGCAUUCGUAUUGCGACGUUAGAGGUGAAAUUCUUGGAUCGUCGCAAGACGGACUACUGCGAAAGCAUUUGCCAAGAAUGUUUUCAUUAAUCAAGAACGAAA
rnacentral:rRNA from 1 species